GCAGGUAGUCUAGUGGUUAGAGUGUUGGACUAGUAACCAGGCAGGGUAGUCUAGUGGUGAGAGUGUUGGACUAGUAACCAGGCAGGGUAGUCUAGUGGUUAGAGCGUUGGACUAGUAACCAGGCAGGGUAGUCUAGUGGUUAGAGUGUUGGACUAGUAACCAGGCAGGUAGUCUAGUGGUUAGAGUGUUGGACUAGUAACCAGCAGGUAGUCUAGUGGUGAGAGUGUUGGACUAGUAACCAGGCAGGGUAGUCUAGUGGUUAGAGUGUUGGACUAGUAACCAGGCAGGGUAGUCUAGUGGUUAGAGUGUUGGACUAGUAACCAGGCAGGGUAGUCUAGUGGUUAGAGUGUUGGACUAGUAACCAGCAGGUAGCCUAGUGGUGAGAGUGUUGGACUAGUAACCAGGCAGGGUAGUCUAGUGGUUAGAGCGUUGGACUAGUAACCAGCAGGUAGCCUAGUGGUGAGAGUGUUGGACUAGUAACCAGGCAGGGUAGCCUAGUGGUUAGAGCGUUGGACUAGUAACCAGGCAGGGUAGUCUAGUGGUGAGAGUGUUGGACUAGUAACCAGCAGGGUAGCCUAGUGGUUAGAGCGUUGGACUAGUAACCAGGCAGGGUAGCCUAGUGGUGAGAGUGUUGGACUAGUAACCAGGCAGGGUAGCCUAGUGGUUAGAGUGUUGGACUAGUAACCAGGCAGGGUAGCCUAGUGGUUAGAGUGUUGGACUAGUAACCAGGCAGGGUAGCCUAGUGGUUAGAGCGUUGGACUAGUAACCAGGCAGGGUAGCCUAGUGGUUAGAGCGUUGGACUAGUAACCAGGCAGGGUAGCCUAGUGGUUAGAGCGUUGGACUAGUAACCAGGCAGGGUAGCCUAGUGGUUAGAGCGUUGGACUAGUAACCAGGCAGGGUAGCCUAGUGGUUAGAGCGUUGGACUAGUAACCGCAAGGUUGCAAGUUCAAACCCCCGAGCUGACAAGGUACAAAUCUGUUGUCCUGCCCCUGAACAGGCAGUUAAACCCACUGUUCCUAGGCCGUCAUUGAAAAUAAGAAUUUGUUCUUAACUGACUUGCCUGGUUAAAUAAAGAUAUAAAAAU